GACGAGCGCUGGCGGCGUGCUUAACACAUGCAAGUCGAACGAUGAAGCCGGAGCUUGCUCUGGUGAAUUAGUGGCGAACGGGUGAGUAACACGUGAGUAACCUGCCCUUGACUCUGGGAUAACUGCGGGAAACUGUAGCUAAUACCGGAUACGACCCUCGGAGGCAUCUCCUGGGGGUGGAAAGAAUUUCGGUCAAGGAUGGACUCGCGGCCUAUCAGCUAGUUGGUGAGGUAAAGGCUCACCCAGGCGACGACGGGGAGCCGGCCUGAGAGGGUGACCGGCCCAACUGGGACUGAGACACGGCCAAGACUCCUACGGGAGGCAGCAGUGGGGAAUAGUGCACAAUGGGCGCAAGCCUGAUGCAGCAGCGCCGCGUGAGGGAUGACGGCCUUCGGGUUGUAAACCUCUUUUAGCAGGGAAGAAGCGAAAGUGACGGUACCUGCAGAAAAAGCACCGGCUAACUACGUGCCAGCCGCCGCCGUAA
rnacentral:rRNA from 1 species